UCAGCCUGUGGCACUCAAAUGAGCAGGCACUCUCCGAUGCCCAGGCGGAAAGUGCUGCAACAUUUGAGUGUCACCGGGGGG
rnacentral:pre_miRNA from 12 species